GAUGAACGCUGGCGGCGUGCCUAAUACAUGCAAGUCGAGCGAACAGACGAGAGUGCUUGCACUCUCUGACGUUAGCGGCGGACGGGUGAGUAACACGUGGGUAACCUACCUAUAAGACUGGGAUAACUUCGGGAAACCGGAGCUAAUACCGGAUAAUAUUUAGCUUCGCAUGAAGCAAUAGUGAAAGACGGUUCUGCUGUCACUUAUAGAUGGACCCGCGGUGUAUUAGCUAGUUGGUGAGGUAACGGCUCACCAAGGCAACGAUACAUAGCCGACCUGAGAGGGUGAUCGGCCACAAUGGGACUGAGACACGGCCCAGACUCCUACGGGAGGCAGCAGUAGGGAAUAUUCCGCAAUGGACGAAAGUCUGACGGAGCAAUGCCGCGUGAGUGAAGAAGGUUUUCGGAUCGUAAAACUCUGUUGUCAGGGAAGAACAAGUACGUUAGUAACUGAACGUACCUUGACGGUACCUGAACAGAAAGCCACGGCUAACUACGUG
rnacentral:rRNA from 1 species